rnacentral:misc_RNA from 1 species
UCCGAGUUGACCCCGGCAGUCUCCUAUGAGUCCCCGCCAUUACGCGCUGGCAACAUAGAACGAGGGUUGCGCUCGUUGCGGGACUUAACCCAACAUCUCACGACACGAGCUGACGACAACCAUGCACCACCUGUAUACCGACCUUGCGGGGCGUACAUCUCUGCACGUUUCCGGUAUAUGUCAAGCCUUGGUAAGGUUCUUCGCGUUGCAUCGAAUUAAUCCACAUGCUCCGCCGCUUGUGCGGGCCCCCGUCAAUUCCUUUGAGUUUUAGCCUUGCGGCCGUACUCCCCAGGCGGGGUGCUUAAUGCGUUAGCUGCGGCACAGACCGCGUGGAAUACGGCCUACACCUAGCACCCACCGUUUACGGCGUGGACUAC